rnacentral:misc_RNA from 1 species
AUGCUUUCUUUCUAGAAACAAUUUGGGGACAGUCUUGUCAUAAAAUGAUAAGGACCACCCUUUGGCCUUCUAAUGGGAUAAUAACUGUUUGUAAAAGUUGAGAAGACAUGUAUUGGUGUCAAUUUGAUAUUUGGUAGAGCAUCUUGUGAUAAGAUAGUGAAUGACAUUAUUUAUAAUCUACAUGGAAAAGGAUAAAAAAUUUUGACUUUAUUUUAAUGUUAUGAUGGCUACAUAAUGAUUAAAUGAUUCUAAUCUUAUCAAUUAGCUUUGGAGACUAGUUGAUUGUGUUGUAUUCAUUGCACUUGUCAAACCAGUGAUUGGGAUUAGAGUGAACAAAUGUUGCAGCUUGGAAUGAUUAAUUUGGUCCCUUUUAUUAAAAUAAGACAUCAA